rnacentral:rRNA from 1 species
UGCGAUUCGUCAAAUGAAAUUAAAUCCGAGUGGCGGACGGGUGAGUAACGCGUGGAUAACCUGCCUCACACAGGGGGACAACAGCCGGAAACGGCUGCUAAUACCGCAUAACACAAGUAAUUCGCAUGAAUAACUUGCCAAAGAUUUCAUCGGUGUGAGAUGGAUCCGCGUCUGAUUAGCCAGUUGGCGGGGUAACGGCCCACCAAAGCGACGAUCAGUAGCCGACCUGAGAGGGUGACCGGCCACAUUGGGACUGAGACACGGCCCAAACUCC